GGGCAUAUAGUUAAGUGGUAUAACGCUCGCUUCGCAAGCGAGAGGCCGCGGGUUCAAUUCCCGCUAUGUCCACCA
rnacentral:tRNA from 1 species